rnacentral:rRNA from 1 species
GAGGGGGGAGCCCGCACAAGCGGAGGAACAUGUGGUCUAAUUCGAAGCAACGCGAAGAACCUUACCAAAUCUUGACAUCCUCUGACAACUAUGGAGACAGAGCGUUCCCCUUCGGGGGACAGAGUGACAGGUGGUGCAUGGUUGUCGUCAGCUCGUGUCGUGAGAUGUUGGGUUAAGUCCCGCAACGAGCGCAACCCUUAUCUUUAGUUGCCAUCAUUCAGUUGGGCACUCUAGAGAGACUGCCGGUGACAAACCGGAGGAAGGUGGGGAUGACGUCAAAUCAUCAUGCCCCUUAUGAUUUGGGCUACACACGUGCUACAAUGGAUGGUACAAAGGGCAGCAAAACCGCGAGGUCAAGCCAAUCCCAUAAAACCAUUCUCAGUUCGGAUUGUAGUCUGCAACUCGACUACAUGAAGCUGGAAUCGCUAGUAAUCGUAGAUCAGCAUGCUACGGUGAAUACGUUCCCGGGUCUUGUACACACCGCCCGUCACACCACGAGAGUUUGUAACACCCGAAGCCGGUGGAGUAACCUUUUAGGAGCUAGCCGUCGAAGGUGGGACAGAUGUUUAGUGUGAACUCGUAGACUAGCAGGCCACAAAA